AAGAAAGAAUCAAAGCUUUUGAAGUUGUUUUGCUGGGUCUCUAGGGACAUUGUGCACGCUUCAUUAGUUUCCACGUUCAUACCCCUGUGCACCUUUGAUAGAUUUCGGUUUGGGUUAUCCUUUGGUUUUUUUCUUAAUUGGAAAGGCCUUUGGUUUCCUUAACACGACUUCUAUACUAUACCACACACCAAAUGUAUGUUUUAUUAAUGAAUGGUUUAUAAUAACAAGGCCAUGAGCCUUAUAAACUUAAUACAACUUUCAACAACGGAUCUCUUGGCUCUCGCAUCGAUGAAGAACGCAGCGAAAUGCGAUAAGUAAUGUGAAUUGCAGAAUUCAGUGAAUCAUCGAAUCUUUGAACGCACCUUGCGCCCUUUGGUAUUCCGAAGGGCAUGCCUGUUUGAGUGUCAUUAAAUUCUCAAACUUCUAUGACUUUAUUGUUGUAGCUGUUUGGAUUGCUGGGGGUUGCUGGCGUCUUCUUUGAAGUCGGCUCCUCUUAAAUGCAUUAGCGGGACUUUGUUGCCUCUGCGCAUAGUGUGAUAAUUAUCUACGCUAGACGCAUGCAAUUCUUAUAUUGUCCAGCUUUCUAAUCGUCUCAAGGGACAAUUACUUUGACAAUUUGACCUCAAAUCAGGUAGGACUACCCGCUGAACUUAAGCAUAUCAAUAAGCGGAGGAA
rnacentral:rRNA from 1 species